rnacentral:lncRNA from 1 species
CUGUUGGGAAAUGUGUCCCAAAAAGCCAAUCGUCAAGCUGUUGACGGUUGAGCAACCAAGUAUUGUAAUUGAUUUAUUAAUAAAUAAAAUAUAUUUGGCAUCUUCAUCAUAAGCUUUCAUCUUCUAAUAAACUCCGUUGUUAUGAUGAAGUCCUUAGGACUAUUUAAGUUCGAUAAAGAGAGAAUUUAUCGAUUAGUCCUUAAAACUGUUCACGACCAAAUGAUAAGCUGUUAAUAAGGACGAC